CGUGACGGCUUGCCGCGUUAAUAGGGGAACCGGCGGCUUAUGGCCGCCGCAAUAACCGUCUGCGCCCGGAGAAGUUUUAGUUGAAGCGCUUUCGGACGGGGGUUCAACUCCCCCCAUCUCCACCA
rnacentral:tmRNA from 1 species